AAGGAAACAAAAUAAAAGGAAAAAUAAAGUCUCUAGAGGAGUCAAAGUUUCUUUAUAGGAUGCAAUCUCCUUAUAAGAAAAUAAAUCACAUAAAUCCCUUAAAGAAAAUCAAAUUCCAUUCGGAAAAAGAGUCUUAAUCCGUGACAUUCUAGGGCAUAACGAAUCACUAAUAUAUAUAUGGCAUGGAGACCAUUUGGAGCAAAACUACUAGACUUUGUCAAAGCAACAAAGGAACCUGAUUCACAGAUUGUGUUCGAGUUUGCACUAUUGAAUGUUGAAGUUUCGAUAGUCAAAGGUUAGAGUUAUUAGUCUUUGUUGAGUUCAUCUGUUGAUGUAAAUUUAUGAGUUUCAAGUAUAUAAUAGGAUAGAUUCUAAGUUGUAAUCUUUUCUAUUAUUGAAUGUUGUUUUGUUGUGAGUGUGAGAAACAAGAAAUGGAUUUGACUUUUUAUUUGUGGAAUGUUGUAAUAAGAAGUAGGUUUGACUUCUUAUUUGUGAAGUGUUGUAACAGAAAAUGGGUUUGACUUCUUGGAGUGCUCAUAUAGUAGGGUGAACAGUUUUAGUAAACUGAUAAGUUGUGGAUUAAGAGUUAGGUUCUAGAAUUGCAAGGUUGUAAUUUUGAACAAAGCUAUUUUUGAAGUUGGUGAAAAUUGAUAGUGAAAUCCUACAUGAUGCAGAUCGUAAUUGAACAAAGCUAUUUGUUGUUUACUGUGAUUCGCUGAACCAAGUUCCUAAUAUAUGUGAUAGGAAUAGUUAAUUGUUACAUAUUGUUUUGUAUUCUACAAGACAUAAUUCAAG
rnacentral:lncRNA from 1 species